rnacentral:rRNA from 1 species
ACUCCAACCCCAGUGUGACCUUUACCACAUCGUUGCCUCGGCGGGAUCGCCCCGGCGCGCCUCUCCCUCUAUGGGGGCGGCGCCCGGAUCACUACGGCGCCCGCCGCAGGACCCCCAAACUCUUUUCGCCUCCUUCCAGGCGUCGGUUUUCUUCUGAGUGAGACCUUUUUCCUCGCGACAGCGGGGUGAAAAUGAAUCAAAACUUUCAACAACGGAUCUCUUGGCUCUGGCAUCGAUGAAGAACGCAGCGAAAUGCGAUAAGUAAUGUGAAUUGCAGAAUUCAGUGAAUCAUCGAAUCUUUGAACGCACAUUGCGCCCGCCAGUAUUCUGGCGGGCAUGCCUGUCCGAGCGUCAUUUCGACCCUCAGGCCCCUCCUGCAGGGGACUGGUGUUGGGGGACGGCACCCGCCGGGAGAGGACCUCGUCCUCCUCCGGCGCGCCGCCCCCGAAAUGCAGUGGCGGCCUCGCCCGCAGCGACCUCCGCGUAGUACCACAAACCUCGCGGCCUGGGAAGCUGGGCGCGGCCACAGCCGUAGAACACCCACCACGCGAACACUCUUCGCACCCUAAGAGUUGACCUCGGAUCAGGUAGGAAUACCCGC